AUGUGUCCUCGCCGGUCGCCGCGGCAGCCAGUGAUGCCCGAGCGGCGGGUUCCCAGGCCCAGGUGUGGGCGCCACCGCCCACCAUGCGCCAAGCCCAGAGCCUGGUUGAAUCGUUCGCCACCUUGUCUACCCAUUUUGGCCAUUAUCCUGCCACCUCCAAAUCCUGUUUUUGACACUUCUCGGGAGAGAGAGAAAACGGAAAGAUAAAGGAAUAAACUCCUCGUGGUCGUAGUUAGUGGGUAAAUUCAGAUCUCGUUUGAACCGAGGUUUUUCUUAUCUCCAGCCACCGUAUCCACCACCACCAGAAUCGUCUUUUUAGUCAUCACAGCUGGUCGCCGUCAGUACCUUGUUCAGAAGCCUCUCGCAGCUUCCAUCGUGUGGUUAUACAAUCCAAAUUCCUUAUAAAGUCCAAAUUCAAGAGGAGGAAUGCACGUUUAGUUAAGUUAAUGUCUAGACCUUACCAGCCAAUUUCUAGCUCCUCAGUAUGGAAAUUGCAACUGAAAACACCCCUUCCAAAAAAAGCAGUCUGCAUUUUUCUCUGAGUUUUCUUCUCCAAAUUUCGCACCCCUGACCUUGCUUACACACUCUGGAUACCACCUGCUGUGGAGUGGCGGAAGCAGACAUCCAGCGAUAGCUAAGUUUCCUGUCGUUGACACCCAAGCAAGACAGGCGUGUACCUAACUGAGGACCUGCCGGUGAUAGAAGUCUCAGCUUUUCUCAGAGACAGAUGAGUCUUCCCUUUAAAUGCUGCAAAGUGCUGCAUAGUAGAUGUUAAAUGAAAGUCAGAAAGAAUCAAAUGUGCUGCAAAUAAUUGAAGGCAAAGUCCCAAACCAGAAUGCAGUCCCCUGGCCAGUGACCCUAGAGAUGACGCUGGCUCCGGCGGUGGCUCCAGGUUCCUGGUAAGAGAUGCUCGGCCGCUGGGGAGGAGGAGGAGGAGCCUGGGCAGCCUCCUGGAGCUCCCCUGACCUCCACCCAGGAAGUUGGUCACUCCUGAUGGCUCGAGGGGCCCUCCUAGUGGGAGGGGAGGCUGGUGAACUAGGGGGUACAUAUUUUGUAUGUUUUCCUUAUUUCAUGGCCUUUCCUUCUUUUUCUAAGGCACCAGACAUUUAGCAAGUUCAGCCUCGCCUGUCUUUUUGACUUGAUUUAGCUGCAACAGGCAGGGGUGAGUGCUGCCUCUCCCGUUGUGGUGCCUGCCUUCUGCCUCACGAGCCACAGCUCUGUCUGCCAGGGUGCCACAUUUCAGCCUGACAGGAGACACUGUGUGCAUGGGGACACAGGUCUGCACCCAGGCUCACAGUGAAACACAUACAUACACUCCUGGUCAAAGAGCCUAACACGGUUUUCUUCUUUUGGCUUUGCUCUUCCUUGGAUGUAUUCCGACGUAGAUUGCACAGCUCAUUUGUGGGAAAUUUCUGUGCCACGCAGGCACUUUCUCUGCUACGGAGAGCGGUCCCAACUCACAAGUUGGACUUAGAGCAAGUCUUGCAGCACUGCUUGCCGUAGAACUUGUGGCUGCACAUCCCGUGCUGGGGUACCAGGUAGCACCAGUGGAAGUAGUCUUUGCAGAAGGCAUCUGAAAAUGAGCAGAGCUGCAUUACUCAGCGAUCCCGAGUGCAGCGACUGAUGUUGCCAGCUAAUAGCUCUGUCUGGCAAAUAAAAGCGAAUUUGUCACGCUCUGCGGCUGCUGCAGAGAGGCAGCCCCCAGGUCUGAUGGGGGUCCCGUGGAACCUAUUAUUUUCACAAGAGCCUUCUUGGAAGUUUUCUGCAAAACUGAAAUUUUCUUCUUGUGCUGACCCCACUCACUCAACCACGCAUCUACCCAUUGGAGCCUCUGUUGACUGAAUUUCAAUUCUCCAAUUCUCUGGUUGAGCCAAACCACUCGCCUUCCUCAAGCCACAUUAUCUCUCAGAAUAGCCUUAACAGGCGCCCAGCCAUCUGUCUCCGCAAUGCUGGGGGAUUUUGUGUGUGCACAGGGAUGGCAUUUAGAGGGCACCCAGUGAAUAAGGGAGGCUUUUGUUUAUCCUAGGGAGAAAAGCUGCUUUAGUUAAGAUUGCUUUCUUUAAAUAUAGUGAACAGCAUUGAUAUAGGAAAGAAGUCACGCUUAUGUCACUACCAUCUAUGUUGUCCUGGGGCAUCAUGAGAGGCAGCCCGGUCUGCUCUAUGGACCAUUUCAUUGUAAAACUGGAGAAGAUGCAAAGAGAGAAAAGGUAGAUCAGACGCAAGACCCUAACUCCAGGCCCCCCAAGGAACUGCUCCAGAAACCUGACAUUCCAGCCCCAUGCCCAGGUCAUGCUGAGGGGCCCCAUGUACUCACCUUUCUUCUCUGCAAUGGGGCAGAAGUGAGUGUUGCAGGCCAGGGAGGCCGAAGGCUUCUGGUGCAGGAGGCAGCCUGAGGCCGGCCGGCCCCCAGCCAGGCACUGCACGGACCUCGUCUGAACGCCUCCCCCACAGCUGGCCGUGCACUGUGAGAGCAACACACACAUGUCACCAUGGCCCCAGGCUCUCAGGCACCUGGUCAACCUCAGUGUGCCCACCUUUCUAAAAGGCCUGCUGCUGCAGGCCAGUGAGGGAAGAGCGACUUAGUCGCAGAGGCAGGUGGAGUUAUGGUUGGCCACGAUGUGCGCGAGUGAGCACGGUCCCUGCUCACCUUUUCCAGAAGCAAGCACCAGGCAUGUGCUGGGCCAGGCCUCUAGCAGAGCAUUCCAAACCAACCAGCUGACAUAGCUCCUGGAACCCUUCCUGUUUUCAGAUAGAAGACAGCCUUGAGCCUUGAGCGGUGACAGGACUUGCUCAGGCUGGGAUUUGAACCGCUAGAGUUGGAUUCUAUAGUCUCAACAGACGGUUCCCGGGCUUGGGCUUUGUGGGGGCUGAGUUCACUUUUUAAAAAAGUAAAUAUACUGCCGGGCACGGUGGCUCAUGCCUGUAAUCCCAGCACUUUGGGAGGCUGAGGCGGGUGGAUCACCUGAGGUCAGGAGUUCGAGAUCAGCCUGGGCAACAUGAUGAAACCCCGUCUCUAUUAAAAAAAGAAAAAAAAUUAGCUGGGCCUGGUGGUGGGCACCUGUAAUCCCAGCUACUUGGGAAGCUGAGGCAUGAGAAUCGCCUGAACCUGGGAGGCAGAGGUUGCAGUGAGCUGAGAUCAUGCCACAGCACUUCAGCCUGGGCAACAAGAGCAAAACUCCAUCUCAAAAAUAAAUAAAUAAGUAAGUAAGUAAGUAAGUAUACUGAUUAAAAAAGCUGAUAUUCAUGGAUUGGCAUAUUAUCUCCUCAAAUUACAGGCAGCAAGGAAGAACAAACUUAGAUCCCCCUGCCAAUAAAGUUACCUACAAGUUAUCCUUCUGAUUGAAAAACAUGAAAAGACUUAACAUCUUGGUUUCUAUUUACGGUAUUUCAGAGAACACGGUUGCUGAUGUUACCACCUGGGACCUGGCGCAAAGGAAAGGAACGCAAGCUCACUGCAAGCACACUGGAAAGGCAUGGACAAGGACGGAAACACAGUUGCUCCCGAUCUCAGGACAGAGAAGCCCCCUCUCAUAGCAUCCAAGCUCCAGGACAGACCUGCCCGCCUCAGCUCCUGAAACCCGGCCUGGGGUGCUCUCCAGCCAGCUCUUUUCUGACAGUGCUGAAAGGAGACAUCAUGAUGCAGGGAUGGCAAGAAUGAAAUCACAUCUUUUAAGGGAAUGAGAGAGACUGGUUUGCGGAUCAAGAGGAAACAGCAUGAAAGAGCUCUGAGGGCUUCAUCCUGGGUAGGAAGCCACUUUGCCCACUGAAUAUUUUCUUCUCACACAAAGGACUUGCAUGAGGGAACCGAGAAAGGAAACUGGGAACACACAGCCACAAGAGGCAGUGACUCCUAACUGUCCUCAGGUUCAAUGCCACACCCAUCGAACUAAGAAUGUGCCAGCGCCAUCAUCAGAAAAAUGUUAGGAAUUACAUCUCAUAAACUAAAAAAGAGCUAGAAAACCGUGACACCAUCAGAGCAUCUUCCUGACACCUGCACCCAGGCCAGGAAAUGGCCUGCCAAGGUGCCCUCCAUCUCUGUGUCCUCCACUGGGUCCCCUAGACUCACAGGGUCACUGUGGCUUCCAUUCCCAUGAGAUGCACUGCCUGUGCCUUGCCCUCCAUCCACAGCAUUCACUAUGUUGAAGGGAAUGAGGGAAUGCCUGUUAUCCCUGUCACAGACACCACGUGGGGCCCAUGGGCCAGGCACCACAAGCCUGUGCACCCUGCCAUACCCGAUCAAGGGCCUCCCUGGACAUUAACAAUGGCUAUGAAGAGGGAUGACAAACAAAUGUGUCCCAAGAAGGGGUGAACGUUAAGAUAGGCUGUGCAGGAAGUCAACAGUGAAAGGUUAUGGUGACAGCAGGGCAAGGAGGCCUUCAGUGUGGCAGGAAUGAGGGCUGUUAGGACAGGGCCCGUGAAGACACUGGAGGAGGCAGUGGCAGGUCCUGGAGGGUCACGGAGGCCACACGACGGCAUUUGGGCACCAAGCAAAUGACAAUGGAGAGCCAUGGAAGGCUGGACUUGGAGAAGUGUCUAUACUGGGUUUGUAUUUUAUUUUAUAUUUAUUUUUUAUUUUUAAAAUUAUUAUUAUUAUUAUUAUUAUUAUUAUUUGAGCUGGAGUCCCACUCUGUCACACAGGCUGGAGUGCAAUGGCACAAUCUCAGUUCACUGCAACCUCUGCCUCCCAGGGUUCAAGCCAUUCUCCUGCCUCAGCCUCCCAAGUAGCUGGGAUUACAGGCGUGCACCUCCAUGCCCGGCUAAUUUUUUGUAUUUUUAGUAGAGAUGGAAUUUCUUCAUGUUGGCCAGGCUGGUCUCAAACUCCUGACGUCAGGUGAUCCACACCAUUCAGCCUCUUAAAGGGCUGGGAUUACAGGCGUGAGCCACUGCGUCUGGCCCAGGUUUGUGUUUUAGAAAGAUCACUGCGACUGCAGAAUGAAUAAGACACUAGAGGAAGCUAGACUGUAGGUAGAAAUUUCUACUCAAGUCUCCUGAGGCUGCAAGAGUGAGAGGCUGGUGGCUUGACUAUGACCAGAGCCUCAUUUCCAUUAGAGAGGGCCAUUCUGUCUGUCCACAGAAUUUAUGCUUUAUAAUUUGACAUUUCAUCAAUGCCUCUGUGAAACUCACAGGACUGAGCACAUGCAAAAUACUAAACAUUUGUUGACCAGUUGACAAUGAACGUCACCCUCCUCAAUUCACAUAUACAGAGCUAUGUUAUUUCCUAAAUAUAGUAACAUCACUAGAAGUUUCCUUUUGGGCUCACCAUAAUGUACCUGUGUUUCAGCAGAUUUGCUUUUGCCUGUGGAUGUAGAAAUCCAUAAAGUUAUAGCCAGGCACCAACAGGGCAACACAAAUCAAAGUUCUUUGUGAAGUCUUGCCCUGGUCCAUGACCCUGGCUGGCUGACUGCCCGAGGACAGCCUUUCUGUGUCUAAGGCCUUGUGGUGUGGGGGUGGGGGGGUGGGGAAGCCGUGGCUCUGCGGUCAGGAUGCCUGGGUUCCAACCUCAGCUCCAACCUUGCCAGCUGGACGGCCUUCAGGAAAUCACGGGACACCAAUGUCUCCAUUCUCUCCUCCGCAAAGGGGAGAUGGUCACAGUAGCUUUUCUAUGCAGUGCUGGGCAGGCUGGGAGGACUAGCAGACAGGAAGUGCUCGGGAAGGGCUGGCUGUGGUUAUCAUGAUUUCAUUCCUUUGUCUCUUCCUCAUCCUGUCCCCUGCCUCUUCUCCUCCUCAACCCUCACCUGGGAAAGGGAGCUCAUUCACAUGUGGUCCACAGGAUUCCAGACAUUCAGUCCCUCAGCCUGUGUACAAGAGGGAAAGCCAUGUUUUCCUAUAGCAGUAUUAUUUUAUACUUAUUAUAUACAUCCCUUCUGAAAAUCAACAAAGACCUGACUGGUAAAUACGAAUUAAAAAAAAAAUCACAGAGACACAGACAUUAAUUUUGUUGUAUUGCCUCUCAGUGAUUUUCCGGCAUUGGUAAAAAUGAUGUCAUGAUAUGGUCAUCACAUGGAACUAUGUGAUUUUGGAAUAUUUACUCUUAUGAGAACUAUUGAGAAAUUUUAGAAUUUCUAAAAUUAGAAGAAUGGGGAGGUUGAAAGAAUGCAGAAAACAAUGCUCCCAAGUGGUGGUAACUGUACUGGAUGGAUUUAUUUAUACCUAACGAAAAGAAAGUGAACGCCAUCUCAGUGACGCCCGAAGAGCCCGCACAGGUGUUCUCCACCUCGUCUGGGGAGAGAAUGAAAGCAAAUGGUCACAGCGGGAAGAACAGGCCUUUCAGGUCCUACACAGUGAAAGUUUACAAGGGGAAAGAAAAGACUGCCAGUGCCUCUUACAAAUCCUUCAUUUCAAACAGAAAAAUGAUAUUAAAAACUUGAUUAACUCCCAAGAGAAGCUGCUGAAGCCCACUGCAGCAUGGAAACAAGAAUUUUAGCGCCUCUAUUUUGUGCAACACCUUUUUUUUCUUUGAGAUGGAGUUUCGCUCUCGUUGCCUAGGCUGGAGUACAAAGGCUCGGUCUCAGCUCACUGCAACCUCUGCCUCCCUGGUUCAAGUUCCCAUCUCAGCCUCCUGAGUAGCUGGGAUUACAGGUAUGCACCACCACGUCCAGCUAAUUUUUGUAUUUUUAGUAGAGACAGGGUUUUACCAUGUUGGUCAGGCUAGCCUCAAACUCCUGACCUCAGGUGAUCCACCCAUCUCGGCCUCCCAAAGUGCUGGGAUUACACGCAUGAGCCACCACGCCCGGCCUAGGCAACACCUUAUUAACAUUCCCAGGGGAGAAGUGGCCCUUCUGCCACAAAGUUCAUGGACUGUGAUCGUGAGACCACUGACUUCGUUUAGACAUUUUAACAGCUGACUAGGAAAUGUCUUCCUCAUACAGUUUCGGUGAAAGCCAGCUGCAAGAACACAAGCUUGUGGGUUACACAGAUUUGAUGAUUUCAGAUCUGACUUGCUUCUUUACCUCAGGAGAUUUUGCUAUCCUGAAGACAAGCCAUUUUCUUGAGAAAGGAAAUAUGUUUCCUAAAUCGCUGAGAAGAUAAAUGUACUAAACAAUACAUCAUCUAAGUCAAUGAAAGAUACUUGCAUGCUAAUAAUGAGAUGACCGUAGACUGAAACUAGGUUUAGGUUUUCUGAACUGCUUGGAAAUUCUUGGCUGCCAUGCCAUUAACACUGCUAUUUUGCCCUGAUUGAAAGGUGAUGUAGAGACAGCACUUUUGAUUAAGACACUCAUUUUGCUGGAGGAUGCUUUCAUCUAGCCCAAAAGUUGGCAAGUAUCUUAUUAAAGGGCCAGAUAGUAAAUAUUUCAGGCCGGUGGAGAUCUCUGCUGUGAGGACUCAUCCCUGCUGCAUCAGUGAGAAAACCACUGGAAACCCCAUGUACAUGAAUAGGCCUGACUGUUCUGAUGAAACCUUAUUUACACAAUCAGGUAUGGCAGGCUGCACUUGGCUCACAGGCCAUAGGUUGCCACCUGCUGAUUUAACCAAUUCUACUUAUAAAUAAUCGAACUGGACAUAUCUGUAAAAACCAGAAAGCAACUAGUGUUUUUACAGCACCCAAGACACCUUACAAGAUAGACCUGUUGGAGUUUGAUACCUAUGUUGAGCCUAGCUAUCAUGGAUUACUAGGAGAUUAGGACAAAUGACCCCAUUGUUGGGAAUGUUAACAAUGAAACAACAGCAAUAACAACAAACAACAACAAGCCCACAUAUUAAAGCCUGAAGUUCUAACAAAAUAUUUGCAAAUCUUAAAGGGGUGAAAUGAAGCUUAUGCAGACGGCUUCAAAUAUUGCAGUAAGUAAGAAAGCAAACCAGUCGCACCUUACAUGUAGUGUAUGAAUUUGGUUAUUAACAGCCACGCAGAAUCAGUGCCCCUGGAGGACAAACCAAAUGCUAGGCAGGGCACUAAGCUUUUUUUUCUAUUAUCUGUUGAGUGGUUUAAUUUUCCCUGCAAACCAAUGAUGUGGACAGAUGCUAUUAUUUCCUAAAAGUGAAGUGCAGAAAGGUGACAUAAGUGGUGUGAGAUGGAAUUUACACCCAGGAAGCCCAGCUCCAGGGCCUGGACUCUCAUGACCAGUUCUGGUUCCUUUUAAAGCACACAUACACACCAAGUAACCCAUUCACAUGCAUUAGCCCACUUAACAACCCUAUGGGGCACUGCUGUUAGAAUUUCAUUUCAUGAACGAGGAAGCUGAGGCUAGAGACACCGAGGACCCUGUCUGCAGCCACAGAGGUCGUUGAUGGUCAGCAUCAUACAGCUGGAGUGGCAGGAUCAGGAAGGGAGCCCAGUGAGCCUGGGUUCUUAUCCACCAUGCUGCAUUGCUCCCAGAUAAAUACAAUUUCUACAAGGCUGGCUUGUCAGCUGGAGAAAAAUCUGACGUGAGUUUGUAAUUUAAUGUUCCUUAGCUCUAAAAUGACCUAGAAAAAAUGUAUACAUUUAGUAAUUUUGUGGGCUUGAAUAUUUUAACUGGACAACGGCAAUUUAUGUGAUGCCUAUCUAUUUUAUACCCAGAUAAGUAAAGAAUUCAUUACUCCUGGUAAAA